ensembl:antisense Gm12364 predicted gene 12364
GGCAAUGCCAAUGGAGGAGUACUUAGUUGGCAUGAGCAAGAGAUGCUGUGGUACCAAACUCAUCCAUACUAGCCUGAGGGAGAUCAUUCCUGCCUACAGAUGGGGGAAGGGUGCUUCUGACACAGGACAACAAUACGGACACUGGUGUUAAAGCACCAAGGACAAUAGACAGAUGAAAAAUGAACACAACAGCCUGGUGUCUGCCACAAGCCAAGCGUCCUCUUCCCACAGCCUGCCUUCACUUACAUGGCUGGACUGGCUCUUGCAGACGGCUCAAGAUGCCCCCAGCUGGACUGGCUCCUGCAGAUGGCUCAAGAUGCCAUAUGAGCAGUAAAACAGAUUUCUGCAUUGCUCAAAGCUUACUUGUGGAGCCUGCCAGCUCCUGGAAGCUGGGGGUGGGCAUCAUGACUCACUCUCCUUUCUGUUUCUGUCCUUGGCCAUCCAUCAGCGUUCAGAAAGGCACUGGCUGGAAGCAGGGUUUCACCCUGUGGGGUCGCUGUAAGCGCUAUAGUUCAAAUGAAUGGGCUCAACUUGAAUGACCUUCAAA